ACCAGACUCCUACGGGAGGCAGCAGUGGGGGAUAUUGCACAAUGGGGGGAACCCUGAUGCAGCGACGCCGCGUGGGUGAAGGAGUAUUUCGGUAUGUAAAGCCCUAUCGGCAGGGAAGAAGCAAGACGGUACCUGACUAAGAAGCCCCGGCUAACUACGUGCCAGCAGCCGCGGUAAUACGUAGGGGCGAGCGUUAUCCGGAUUCACUGGGUGUAAAGGGAGCGUAGACGGCCAUGCAAGCCAGGGGUGAAAGCCCGGGGCCCAACCCCGGGACUGCCCUUGGAACUGCAUGGCUGGAGUGCGGGAGGGGCAGGCGGAAUUCCUGGUGUAGCGGUGAAAUGCGUAGAUAUCAGGAGGAACACCGGCGGCGAAGGCGGCCUGCUGGACCGUGACUGACGUUGAGGCUCGAGAGCGUGGGGAGCAAACAGGAUUAGAUACCCUCGUA
rnacentral:rRNA from 1 species